GACGAACGCUGGCGGCGUGCUUAACACAUGCAAGUCGAACGAAGUGGCGAACGGGUGAGUAACGCGUAAUCAACCUGCCCUUCAGAGGGGGACAACAGUUGGAAACGACUGCUAAUACCGCAUACUGAAGGAGGGGAUUGCGUCUGAUUAGCUAGUAGGUGGGGUAACGGCUCACCUAGGCGACGAUCCCUAGCUGGUCUGAGAGGAUGACCAGCCACACUGGAACUGAGACACGGUCCAGACUCCUACGGGAGGCAGCAGUGGGGAAUAUUGCACAAUGGGCGCAAGCCUGAUGCAGCCAUGCCGCGUGUAUGAAGAAGGCCUUCGGGUUGUAAAGCUCUGUUAAUCGGGACGCGGUACCGGAAUAGAAAGCCACGGCUAACUACGUGCCAGCAGCCGCGGUAAUAC
rnacentral:rRNA from 1 species